AAGGUGCGCAACCUGAGGCGAUUGAUCCUUAAGGAAGCUCAUGAAUCUCCUCUCACCAUUCAUCCCGGUAGUACUAAGAUGUAUCAGGACCUACGCCAAAGGUUCUGGUGGACUAGGAUGAAGAGAGAAAUUGCUCAGUAUAUUGCCAAUUGCGACGUCUGCCGUCGUGUAAAAGCAGAGCAUCAACGGCCUGCUGGCACCCUUCAACCCUUAGCUAUUCCUGAAUGGAAAUGGGAUAAAAUUGGUAUGGAUUUCAUUACCGGUUUUCCCAGAACCAAAAGAGGGAAUAAUGCUAUUUUCGUCGUGGUCGAUCGUCUUUCCAAAGUAGCUCAUUUC
rnacentral:rRNA from 1 species